rnacentral:rRNA from 1 species
UACGUAGGGCGCAAGCGUUAUCCGGAAUUAUUGGGCGUAAAGAGCUCGUAGGCGGUUUGUCGCGUCUGCCGUGAAAGUCCGGGGCUCAACUCCGGAUCUGCGGUGGGUACGGGCAGACUAGAGUGAUGUAGGGGAGACUGGAAUUCCUGGUGUAGCGGUGAAAUGCGCAGAUAUCAGGAGGAACACCGGUGGCGAAGGCGGGUC